UACGUAGGGUGCAGGCGUUAAUCGGAAUUACUGGGCGUAAAGCGUGCGCAGGCGGUCUUUUAAGUCAGAUGUGAAAUGCCCGGGCUUAACCUGGGAACUGCAUUUGUGACUGCAUGGCUAGAGUUUGGCAGAGGGGGGUAGAAUUCCACGUGUAGCAGUGAAAUGCGUAGAUAUGUGGAGGAACACCGAUGGCGAAGGCAGCCCCCUGGGUCAAGACUGACGCUCAUGCACGAAAGCGUGGGGAGCAAACAGG
rnacentral:rRNA from 1 species